rnacentral:rRNA from 1 species
CAGUAGCCGCGGUAAUACGAAGGGUGCAAGCGUUAAUCGGAAUUACUGGGCGUAAAGCGUGCGUAGGCGGUUUGUUAAGUCUGCUGUGAAAUCCCCGGGCUCAACCUGGGAAUGGCAGUGGAUACUGGCAAGCUAGAGUGUGUCAGAGGAUGGUGGAAUUCCCGGUGUAGCGGUGAAAUGCGUAGAGAUCGGGAGGAACAUCAGUGGCGAAGGCGGCCAUCUGGGACAACACUGACGCUGAGGCACGGAAGCGUGGGGAGCAAACAGGAUUAGAUACCCCUGUAGUCCCUGUCUCUUAUAC